UGGUCGAGGGGGAGAGGUCAGACUAAGACAGGUACCCUGGUCCUCCAGGUUGGGGGUUGGUCGCAAGGCUAACAACCUUGCACCGUAAAAAGGAAGAUCAAAGCCUCCGACAGAAUGGAAGAGGGGAGUUGAGGAGGCCAUAGAAGAAGAAGUGCCAAUCAUGCUGGAUUAGCCCCUGCCGAUAUAAGUCGUCAUAUCACACGUGAUCUUCUGUUAAAACUGAAACAAACAGACUGAAAACCUGAGAUCCGUUCUGCUGCAACGGAUUGUGUCAAUGCUUGGGGUCAGCAGUGCGGAUUUAAGGAGUUCUUUCGUGGUAAUAUGAUUGAAUAUGCCCUUAAGAGAGGAAGCCCAACCCUGCGAAUAGAACUUUGGGCAUGGCUUACAGAAAUACUUGCCACAUUGUCACCCAGGUCUGUCCCUGAGAAAAAAUUGUUGGCAUAUCUACCACACUUGUAUGCAGAUGUGAGGAAAAAUGCCGAGGAGGCUAUCGUUCCAUUUAUGAUACGCUUGGGACAUGAGACAAUGGUCAAAACCUCAGAGGAAUUGAAA